GUGAAUCAUCAAAUUUUUGAACGCAAAUUGCACUCUCUGGUAUUCCGGAAAGUAUGCCUGUUUGAGGGUCAGUUAAAUAAAAAUCGGUGUUGUUGCUGCUUUUCGUGCUGACGCGCGGGAAUUGAGUUCUCUUACCUUUGGCUCAGUGACUUAAAAUUUUGCAUGAUUUUCUAUCGUAUUUAAAUUUCUUGCGUACGUUUGAGAUAUCGAAUACUUUAUUAGGUUCGGUCAUCCUUAUGAUUUGCACCUAUAUU
rnacentral:misc_RNA from 1 species